GAUGAACGCUGGCGGUCUGCUUAACACAUGCAAGUCGUGCGAGAACAGUUCCUUCGGGAACCCAGUAGAGCGGCGCACGGGUGAGUAACGCGUGGAUAAUCUACCCAGAAGACUGGGAUAACAGUUGGAAACGACUGCUAAUACCGGAUACGUUUCAUAUUUAACUUAUGAGAGAAAGGUGGCCUCUGUUUCAAGCUAUCACUUUUGGAUGAGUCCGCGUUUCAUUAGCUAGUUGGUAAGGUAACGG
rnacentral:rRNA from 1 species